CAGUAGCCGCGGGAAUACGAGGGGGGCAAGCGUUGUUCGGAAUUAUUGGGCGUAAAGGGUGCGUAGGCGGUUUGGCAAGUUUGGUGUGAAAUCUUCGGGCUCAACUCGAAGUCUGCAUCGAAAACUGCCGGGCUUGAGUAUGGGAGAGGUGAGUGGAAUUUCCGGUGUAGCGGUGAAAUGCGUAGAUAUCGGAAGGAACACCUGUGGCGAAAGCGGCUCACUGGACCAUAACUGACGCUGAUGCACGAAAGCUAGGGGAGCAAACAGGAUUAGAUACCCGAGUAGUCCCUGUCUCUUAUAC
rnacentral:rRNA from 1 species